GAUGAACGCUGGCGGUGUGCCUAAUACAUGCAAGUCGAGCGAACAGACGAGGAGCUUGCUCCUCUGACGUUAGCGGCGGACGGGUGAGUAACACGUGGAUAACCUACCUAUAAGACUGGGAUAACUUCGGGAAACCGGAGCUAAUACCGGAUAAUAUAUUGAACCGCAUGGUUCAAUAGUGAAAGACGGUUUUGCUGUCACUUAUAGAUGGAUCCGCGCCGCAUUAGCUAGUUGGUAAGGUAACGGCUUACCAAGGCAACGAUGCGUAGCCGACCUGAGAGGGUGAUCGGCCACACUGGAACUGAGACACGGUCCAGACUCCUACGGGAGGCAGCAGUAGGGAAUCUUCCGCAAAGGGCGAAAGCUUGACGGAGCAACGCCGCGUGAGUGAUGAAGGUCUUCGGAUCGUAAAACUCUGUUAUUAGGGAAGAACAAAUGUGUAAGUAACUAUGCACGUCUUGACGGUACCUAAUCAGAAAGCCACGGCUAACUACGUG
rnacentral:rRNA from 1 species